AGAGUUUGAUCCUGGCUCAGAACGAACGCUGGCGGCAUGCCUAACACAUGCAAGUCGAACGAGACCUUCGGGUCUAGUGGCGCACGGGUGCGUAACGCGUGGGAAUCUGCCCUUUGCUUCGGAAUAACAGUUAGAAAUGACUGCUAAUACCGGAUGAUGUCUUCGGACCAAAGAUUUAUCGGCAAAGGAUGAGCCCGCGUAGGAUUAGGUAGUUGGUGGGGUAAAGGCCUACCAAGCCGACGAUCCUUAGCUGGUCUGAGAGGAUGAUCAGCCACACUGGGACUGAGACACGGCCCAGACUCCUACGGGAGGCAGCAGUGGGGAAUAUUGGACAAUGGGCGCAAGCCUGAUCCAGCAAUGCCGCGUGAGUGAUGAAGGCCUUCGGGUCGUAAAGCUCUUUUACCAGGGAUGAUAAUGACAGUACCUGGAGAAUAAGCUCCGGCUAACUCCGUGCCAGCAGCCGCGGUAAUACGGAGGGAGCUAGCGUUGUUCGGAAUUACUGGGCGUAAAGAGUACGUAGGCGGUUAUUCAAGUCAGAGGUGAAAGCCCGGNG
rnacentral:rRNA from 1 species